rnacentral:rRNA from 1 species
UACAGAGGUCUCAAGCGUUGUUCGGAUUCAUUGGGCGUAAAGGGUGCGUAGGUGGCGCCGUAAGUCAGGUGUGAAAUUUCGGAGCUUAACUCCGAAACUGCAUUUGAUACUGCGGUGCUUGAGGACUGGAGAGGAGACUGGAAUUUACGGUGUAGCAGUGAAAUGCGUAGAGAUCGUAAGGAAGACCAGUGGCGAAGGCGGGUCUCUGGACAGUUCCUGACACUGAGGCACGGAAGGCCAGGGGAGCAAAACGGG